rfam:Brachypodium distachyon strain Bd21 chromosome 1, whole genome shotgun sequence.
UAAAUACUCCCUUCGUCCCAUAUUAAGUGACUCGAAUUUGACCAAAUAUGGAUGUAUCUAUACAUGAAAAUCGUCUAGAUACAUGUAAUAUUUCGUCACUUGAUAUGGGACGGAGGGAGUAUAAG